rnacentral:rRNA from 1 species
UACGGAGGGUGCAAGCGUUAUCCGGAUUCACUGGGUUUAAAGGGUGCGUAGGCGGGCAGGUAAGUCAGUGGUGAAAUCUCCGGGCUUAACCCGGAAACUGCCGUUGAUACUAUUAGUCUUGAAUUCGGUUGAGGUUGGCGGAAUGUGUCGUGUAGCGGUGAAAUGCUUAGAUAUGACACAGAACACCGAUUGCGAAGGCAGCUAGCUAAACCGACAUUGACGCUGAGGCACGAAAGCGUGGGGAUCAAACAGG